rnacentral:rRNA from 1 species
GACGAACGCUGGCGGCGUGCUUAACACAUGCAAGUCGAACGAUGAACCCGGAGCUUGCUCUGGGGGAUUAGUGGCGAACGGGUGAGUAACACGUGAGUAACCUGCCCUGGACUCUGGGAUAAGCGUUGGAAACGACGUCUAAUACCGGAUAGGACCUUGGAUCGCAUGAUCUGGGGUGGAAAGUUUUUUCGGUCUGGGAUGGACUGGCGGCCUAUCAGCUUGUUGGUGAGGUAAUGGCUCACCAAGGCGUCGACGGGUAGCCGGCCUGAGAGGGUGACCGGCCACACUGGGACUGAGACACGGACCAGACUCCUACGGGAGGCAGCAGUGGGGAGUAUUGCACAAUGGGCGAAAGCCUGAUGCAGCAACGCGGCGUGCGGGAUGACGGCCUUCGGGUUGUAAACCGCUUUUAGUAGGGAAGAAGGGCUUCGGCUUGACGGUACCUGCAGAAAAAGGACCGGCUAACUACGUG